rfam:Microbulbifer donghaiensis strain CGMCC 1.7063 genome assembly, contig: Ga0070181_101
UGGGGCGUAGCCAAGCGGUAAGGCAGCGGGUUUUGAUCCCGUCAUGCGUAGGUUCGAAUCCUACCGCCCCAG